rnacentral:rRNA from 1 species
UACGGGGGGAGCAAGCGUUGUUCGGAUUUACUGGGCGUAAAGGGCGCGUAGGCGGCCACUGCAAGUCGGUUGUGAAAUCUCCGGGCUUAACCCGGAAAGGUCAACCGAUACUGCAGGGCUAGAGUGCAGAAGGGGCAACUGGAAUUCUCGGUGUAGCGGUGAAAUGCGUAGAUAUCGGGAGGAACACCAGUGGCGAAGGCGGUUGCCUGGAGCUUUGCUGACGCUGAUGCGCGAAAGCGUGGGGAGCGAUCCGG